AACGAACGUUAGCGGCGCGCCUAACACAUGCAAGUCGCACGAGAAAGGGCUUCGGCCCCGGUAAAGUGGCGCACGGGUGAGUAACACGUGGGUAACCUUCCCUCGAGCGGGGAAUAACAUUCCGAAAGGAGUGCUAAUACCGCAUAAGACCACGGCUUCGAAAGGAGCUGAGGUAAAAGCUGGCCUCUUCAUGAAAGCUAGCACUCGAGGAUGGGCCCGCGGCCCAUCAGCUUGUUGGUAGGGUAACGGCCUACCAAGGCUAAGACGGGUAACUGGUCUGAGUGGAUGAUCAGUCACACUGGAACUGAGACACGGUCCAGACUCCUACGGGAGGCAGCAGUGGGGAAUCUUGCGCAAUGGACGAAAGUCUGACGCAGCGACGCCGCGUGGGUGAUGAAGGCCUUCGGGUUGUAAAGCCCUGUGGGGAGAGACGAAUAAGUCUUGGCUAAUAUCCAAGAUGAUGACGGUAUCUCCUUAGCAAGCACCGGCUAACUCUGUGCCAGCCGCCGCCGUAAAAC
rnacentral:rRNA from 1 species